UGUUUGCACUUAGCGGGAAGGGUAAGAACCUUCGACUAAGGUUCGACUCGAGCGCCAGCGAGAGAGCGUUGCCACAGGCAACGGCCCGAAGGGCGAGGAGCGAUAGCGACGAGUUAUCCUUCCCCACCACCA
rnacentral:sRNA from 1 species